UGGUCCUACGGGGGGCAGCAGUGAGGAAUAUUGGUCAAUGGGCGCGAGCCUGAACCAGCCAAGUCGCGUGAGGGAGGACGGCCCUACGGGUUGUAAACCUCUUUUGCCGGGGAGCAACGGGCGUCACGUGUGGCGCCACUGAGAGUACCCGGAGAAAAAGCAUCGGCUAACUCCGUGCCAGCAGCCGCGGUAAUACGGAGGAUCCGAGCGUUAUCCGGAUUCAUUGGGUUUAAAGGGUGCGUAGGUUGUUUUAUAAGUUAGCGGUGAAAUACCGAUGCUCAACAUCGGGGCUGCCGCUAAUCCUU
rnacentral:rRNA from 1 species